rnacentral:rRNA from 1 species
AAGCGCUUGCAACCAGACUUGCGCGCGGCUGAUCAUCCGGUGUUCUCACCGGUGCACUCGGUCGCGCUCAGGCCAGCAUCGGUUUCGGUGGUUGGAUAAAGGCCUUGGGAAUGUAGCUUCUUUCGGGGAGUGUUAUAGCCCUCGGUGCAAUGCAGCCUACCGGGACCGAGGACCGCGCUUCGGCUAGGAUGCUGGCGUAAUGGUUGUAAGCGA